CAAGUGGGCAGUCGUGAUCAAGUAGUCCAUGCAAACAACCGGCACCAAAUUCUCGUUAAUCUUCUGAGUUAUGGUUGAGCCGUGUUCCCAAACAAUCUACAGAGACUCCGAAGGUUCUAGCUUAUUUAAGCGGAAUACUAUGUUUAUGGAAGGAUGCGACGAGUUCCAAAAGCGUUUCUUUUUUUAUCUUCAGUUCAUCAGGAUUUCAUUAAAAUUCAUAGGAUUUCGAAUCAAUGAAACUUUUUUAUUUCUUCACAAAGUAAAACUGGCUCUUUAUUCCCCGUCUCACAAUGUCGUGAUUAACAAGCUGUUCAGCAUCUCUAAAGAAAGAGACAGAUUAAGGUUUUAAUUUCACAAAGUUUCCCACUUGAACAUUGAUAAACAAAGUAAUAUUGUUCCUGUCGUGAUUUAUUUUUAGACACAAUUUUGAAGUUAUGGAUGCGUUGAGGGUGAAUUCGAUACAGCUGAUGGAGGAAUUAUCAGGCAACACACGACGCUUGGAAAACUAUCAAAGUUUCGAACGAAAACUUUUCUUCGCGUGUCGUUUUAAAAUUCUGCAAGAAAGUCCGAUACAAAGUGUUAUAGUUUUAAGAAACUUUCUUAUAGAAAGUCUUAUUUGUAAUCGUUUUAAAAUAUUGACUUGUAAAAUGGAUGCUCUGAUACUAGAAAAGCAUUUGAGGUGCGCGUUUAAGAGAAUCUAGGAAGUGAUAAAAGUCAUCAUAAAGUAAUAGUGGAGGCAAUCGUGUUUUAAUAUCAUCAUAUACGCUGAUACUCUAUUCUAAGCAUUUACGCCUGUCUUUAUUUAUAGAGGCUUAACAUAUCACUUCCCGAACAUCAUUAUAGCCUUCACUCAAAUUUUAGCUCUUAUAGAUCCAUCACGAUCGAAGAUAUUUAGCGUAAAUUUAAUCAUUGUUCGUGGAUCCGAAGGGAACACGUUCAAAUUUCGCGAACGAUUUAGAGCGAAUCUCGAUCAACGACGAAGCGCGCUAAUUUUUAAACUGUCACUAAUCGUUUGUAGAUCAAGUCUUGUAUUUCUUUUUCAAGAAUACGGAAUCGAAGAGGAACACGAUUGUGGAUAAAACGCGUCCGUCUUCUCAACCCUGUGGCGCGUAACUGAGUUCUUCUCCGUGACACACGGGGACAAAGCGACGGUGGAGGUGGAACGGAAGCGGUAGUGGCAAACUGGAGAAAGAAAAUCGACGAUACUGUACGAUGCAAACUUGGAAGGCUUUCGAAACGGUGAACUUUUGAAAUAGAAGAACACUUAAUAAAUGAAGGAAAAACCUGGAAAUAUAAUACAUCGUAUAAUUAACGAUGAGCAUGGCUGAUAUAUGUUGACCACAAGAAUAGAAAACUCUAUUUAUAUCAAUUCGAAUACUUCCGGAAGCAUCAUCCUCUCUGAAUCAUGAGGUUGCGAGAUAACGUUUGGACCGUAUCUUUAAAUGAUUAAUAGACUGGGACAUUGCGGCUCCGAUCAGGAUCUAAAAUUAAUAAAAAUUCGAUUUGUCAAGUAUUAUAAAUUAUUUGAAAUAGAUGACUUACUGGAUAUUCUGCUGGUCAAGUAGGAUCGUCUGGAAAACAAGCAGGUUCUUCCAUGGAGGAUUGAAACAUCGACACGUGAAAAUUAUAGAGUAUAAUGAAAUUAACGAUAAAUUUUAAUUGCUGGAGUGGCCUUAAACAUGUCUUCGACCCGAGCCUGUUAUCACAUUGUUCUAAUAGCCGGCAAUUACGUAAUUAGUGGGAAGUGCGGUGAGAACCAUCGACUUUCAUGAAUUUCACUGUUCUUGUAUUCGAAUAUCGAUGAAAUUUUGAAUCAAGAAUUUUACAUUUUCUUCAAUUAUAAGCGUGUCGGUAACUCAAUGUGGUUGAGAAAUAACGCUUUAAAUAGUUGCACAGUUCAAACGUUAUACUAACGAAAAUACUACGCUAACGAUUAGACCAGCAUCGCGUGAUAAUUUCACGAAAAUAUCCUCGCUUGGCCUUUUUACGUUUAAUAAAAACACGCAUCAGGAAAAAUGAUUCCGAGAAGCAACUAAAUAAAACCAUAUGACUAAACAAAAUUUAUAGUACAGUUUAAUAGAAUUCAAGUCUUAAUGAAUAAAUAAUUCUAUGUUUUAUAGACUAUGAUAGAAAGAUGAUUGAAUGAAACUAAUUAUUGGUCUUUAAACAUUCUUUAGUGUCAUGUAUAAUCACUUCCUUUCAAUAGUCUUUAAUCAGGCAGAGAUUUUAAGUGACACGUAUCCAACGGCUUAAAGACACCUUAGCGUAGCUAAUAAUCUUGACGAACAGUGAACGAGACCAUUCGAGGUAAUUGAAACGUGCUUUAUUCUACGUAACAGGCGCAUAACAGGUCAUUUGACAUCGCAUAAAAGGAUCCUUAAUUGCAUUGCAAAGUUGAACGAGUUAAGCAUGGAGAACGAUGACAAGAACGUGAGUUGUACGGAUCUGAAUCGAAUACGGGUCAUGUUCCUGUUCUACCGGACGUGUCAACACACCCCAAGGAACUAAGCACCUAAUGAUUUUAAUGUUAUUGGAAGCGGAUAAAGGAUAGAUGAAUAGAACGCACCUCGAAUAGAAAAAUAAGUAAAUAAAAAGUUAGGAAAAACUUGACGCGCUUCGUGUCGCGUGGAUAACUCAGGUGGGGUACACCUGGGGAAACAUAAAAUGCUACUAGAGACUAGGAGAUCCAAUUAGAGAGAUACAUUUUACAUGGUGUUAGAUUGCAACAUAAAUGAAGUAUAAAUAUUUCUUAGAUAUUUAAGUUCUUAUUAAAUUCCUAGGCAGAAUAUUUCCUCGCGACAUAAAGAUAUCGUAUGAAACGAGAGAAAAUUAUGAAUUCUACUUUUCUAUUUCGUUUUUUCCAUCCGUUUCUUCCAUCUGGAAAGUUUUUCCUUCAAUCCAAUACCAAUUAUCUGGCUCACAAUAUCAACGUUAACGAACCAGCUUACUUACG